ACUCAAAGGAAUAGACGGGGGCCCGCACAAGCGGUGGAGCAUGUGGUUCAAUUCGAAGCAACGCGCAGAACCUUACCAGCCCUUGACAUGUCCCUUGUGGUCCUCGGAGACGGGGAUCUUCGGUUCGGCCGGGGGGAACACAGGUGCUGCAUGGCUGUCGUCAGCUCGUGUCGUGAGAUGUUGGGUUAAGUCCCGCAACGAGCGCAACCCUCCUCUUCAGUUGCCAGCAUUGGGUUGGGCACUCUGGAGAAACUGCCGGUGACAAGCCGGAGGAAGGCGGGGAUGACGUCAAGUCCUCAUGGCCCUUACGGGCUGGGCUACACACGUGCUACAAUGGCGGUGACAGAGGGGCGCGAACCCGCGAGGGGGAGCCGAUCCCGAAAAGCCGUCUCAGUUCGGAUCGCACUCUGCAACUCGAGUGCGUGAAGUCGGAAUCGCUAGUAAUCGCGGAUCAGCACGCCGCGGUGAAUACGUUCCCGGGCCUUGCACACACCGCCCGU
rnacentral:rRNA from 1 species